CAGGCUUAACACAUGCAAGUCGAGGGGCAGCACAGGUAGCAAUACCGGGUGGCGACCGGCGCACGGGUGAGUAACGCGUAUGCAACUUGCCUAUCAGAGGGGGAUAACCCGGCGAAAGUCGGACUAAUACCGCAUGAAGCAGGGGCCCCGCAUGGGGAUAUUUGCUAAAGAUUCAUCGCUGAUAGAUAGGCAUGCGUUCCAUUAGGCAGUUGGCGGGGUAACGGCCCACCAAACCGACGAUGGAUAGGGGUUCUGAGAGGAAGGUCCCCCACAUUGGUACUGAGACACGGACCAAACUCCUACGGGAGGCAGCAGUGAGGAAUAUUGGUCAAUGGGCGCGAGCCUGAACCAGCCAAGUCGCGUGAGGGAUGAAGGUUCUAUGGAUCGUAAACCUCUUUUAUAAGGGAAUAAAGUGCGGGACGUGUCCCGUUUUGUAUGUACCUUAUGAAUAAGGAUCGGCUAACUCCGUGCCAGCAGCCGCGGUAAUACGGAGGAUCCGAGCGUUAUCCGGAUUUAUUGGGUUUAAAGGGUGCGUAGGCGGCCUUUUAAGUCAGCGGUGAAAGUCUGUGGCUCAACCAUAGAAUUGCCGUUGAAACUGGGGGGCUUGAGUAUGUUUGAGGCAGGCGGAAUGCGUGGUGUAGCGGUGAAAUGCAUAGAUAUCACGCAGAACCCCGAUUGCGAAGGCAGCCUGCCAAGCCAUUACUGACGCUGAUGCACGAAAGCGUGGGGAUCAAACAGGAUUAGAUACCCUGGUAGUCCACGCAGUAAACGAUGAUCACUAGCUGUUUGCGAUACACUGUAAGCGGCACAGCGAAAGCGUUAAGUGAUCCACCUGGGGAGUACGCCGGCAACGGUGAAACUCAAAGGAAUUGACGGGGGCCCGCACAAGCGGAGGAACAUGUGGUUUAAUUCGAUGAUACGCGAGGAACCUUACCCGGGUUUGAACGCAUUCGGACCGAGGUGGAAACACCUUUUCUAGCAAUAGCCGUUUGCGAGGUGCUGCAUGGUUGUCGUCAGCUCGUGCCGUGAGGUGUCGGCUUAAGUGCCAUAACGAGCGCAACCCUUGCCACUAGUUACUAACAGGUAAAGCUGAGGACUCUGGUGGGACUGCCAGCGUAAGCUGCGAGGAAGGCGGGGAUGACGUCAAAUCAGCACGGCCCUUACAUCCGGGGCGACACACGUGUUACAAUGGCGUGGACAAAGGGAAGCCACCUGGCGACAGGGAGCGAAUCCCCAAACCACGUCUCAGUUCGGAUCGGAGUCUGCAACCCGACUCCGUGAAGCUGGAUUCGCUAGUAAUCGCGCAUCAGCCAUGGCGCGGUGAAUACGUUCCCGGGCCUUGUACACACCGCCCGUCAAGCCAUGGGAGCCGGGGGUACCUGAAGUCCGUAACCGCGAGGAUCGGCCUAGGGUAAAACUGGUGACUGGGGCUAAGUC
rnacentral:rRNA from 1 species